AUUGAACGCUGGCGGCAGGCUUAACACAUGCAAGUCGAGCGGAGCGGCGGACGGGUGAGUAAUGCUUAGGAAUCUGCCUAUUAGUGGGGGACAACAUCUCGAAAGGGAUGCUAAUACCGCAUACUAUCAGAUGAGCCUAGGUCGGAUGAGCUAGUUGGUGGGGUAACGGCUCACCUAGGCGACGAUCCCUAGCUGGUCUGAGAGGAUGACCAGCCACACUGGAACUGAGCCACGGUCCCGAUCCCUACGGGAGGCAGCAGUGGGGAAUAUUGCACAAUGGGCGCAAGCCUGAUGCAGCCAUGCCGCGUGUGUGAAGAAGGCCUUCGGGUUGUAAAGCACUUUCAGCGGGGAGGCGUUACCCGCAGAAGAAGCACCGGCUAACUCCGUGCCAGCAGCCGCGGUAAUAC
rnacentral:rRNA from 1 species